rnacentral:rRNA from 1 species
CGCACGGGUGAGUAACACGUAUCCAACCUGCCGUCUACUCUUGGACAGCCUUCUGAAAGGAAGAUUAAUACAAGAUGGCAUCAUGAGUCCGCAUGUUCACAUGAUUAAAGGUAUUCCGGUAGACGAUGGGGAUGCGUUCCAUUAGAUAGUAGGCGGGGUAACGGCCCACCUAGUCUUCGAUGGAUAGGGGUUCUGAGAGGAAGGUCCCCCACAUUGGAACUGAGACACGGUUCAA